CCCUUAGAUGUCCGGGGCUGCACGCGCGCUACACUGAAGGAAUCAGCGUGCUAAAACCAUUGUCGAAAGGCAUUGGUAAACCCAUUAAAAUCCUACGUGAUUGGGAUCGGGAAUUGCAAUUAUUUCCCUUGAACGAGGAAUUCCCAGUAAGUGUGGGUCAUAAGCUCGCGUUGAUUACGUCCCUGCCCUUUGUGCACACCGCCCGUCGCUGCCCGGGACUGAGCCGUUUCGAGAAAAGCGGGGACUGCUGCUGUCGGGGCUUUCGGGCCUUGGCUUCGGUGGAAACCGCUUUAAUCGCAGUGGCUUGAACCGGGCAAAAGUCGUANCA
rnacentral:rRNA from 1 species